rnacentral:rRNA from 1 species
UACGGGGGGGGCAAGCGUUGUUCGGAAUUACUGGGCGUAAAGGGCUCGUAGGUGGCCAACUAAGUCAGACGUGAAAUCCCUCGGCUUAACCGGGGAACUGCGUCUGAUACUGGAUGGCUUGAGUUCGGGAGAGGGAUGCGGAAUUCCAGGUGUAGCGGUGAAAUGCGUAGAUAUCUGGAGGAACACCGGUGGCGAAGGCGGCAUCCUGGACCGGCAUUGACGCUGAUGAGCGAAAGCUAGGGGAGCAAACGGGG